ensembl:lncRNA
GUGUUUUUGAUGCUUUUUUUUCAAAUGUAAUAUUGCAUUUUUUUUCAUUAACUGGAUGAAAUGAAUAUAUUUUUUAUUUUAUUUUAUUUUAUUUUAUUUUAUAAUUUAGUUUUGUUUUGUUCUGGGGGUUUUGUUGCUUUUUCAACUCGGGUAUUCCAUUUUUUAGGUGUUUUAAAAUGUUUAUUUAUUUUUAUUUUUUAUUUUAUUUAUAGUCUUUGUUGAUUUGUUUUCAAUUAUAUUUGUGUUAAUGUUGACUAGUUGUAUUACAUGACUCUCACAUGACUUCAGUUUCUAUUUUUCUUUAUAGAUUUAAAACUUUUUCUUUUUGUGUCUGGAUUAAUCAACUUAUAUAAUAUAUAUAUAUAUAUAUUAUUUUUUACAUAAUGGUAUUUUGAUGUGUUUUUUGGUACUUUAUUUUAACUUUUGUAACGUUUCAUUUAUUUUAUUUUAAUAUUUAUCUAUUUUUGCUUGUGCUGUUUUGGGUGCUUUGUUUUCAAUUUACUAUUUAAUUUUUUUCCAUAACUGGAUGAACCGACUUGUAAUAUAUUUAACUUGUGUUUUGUUUUCAGUUGUAUCUGUAAUUAUGUUGGUUAGUUGUGGAUCACGUGACUUAAGUUUCUCUUGUUCUAUACAGGUAAAUGAUGGCUGAUGCAAUAAUUUUUAAUCAUAUAUGUUUAAUCAUAUAGUAUAUGUUUGCCACUUUUUCCACAGCUUGGGAUAGUCACUAGUGAAGAGCUUGGCACUGCGAUGAAUGUGAACGCUGACAGAUUCCUCCAGUCUCAUAGUCCAGUUCUGAUCAGAGGUCUGGCUCGUCGCCUAACAGCUUGCAGGACCCCAGAAGCGCACACAUAUGGGACGGAUAAAGAGGGGGUUUCUUGUGGUGUGUGCUGAUGUUGACACCUCUGAUGUCUGCUGGUGUAAAGUUGCUGCUGAACAGCAGAUCUUCAUGCUCUUCUCCAGACCCGACCCUCCUCCUCCUCCUCCUGCUCUUCCUGUAGGCCUCGCAGCGGAGUGGGUCGGUGGUGCCGGCCCGUUCACGCCUGAGCGCUCCGAGCAGCUCGUGGUCAUUAUCUGACCCCAGCCUCUCCUGCAGCUGCACCAAUUAGUUUUGACCCAGAAGGAAUUUCAGGAGACAGGGAGACAGAGACAGGCAUGCUUCCAUACAGCUCAUUGAGAGGAUGCUCAUGCAUGUGUGUGCAAGCCUGACUGCUUUUCAGAAUUAUUUUGGAGUGCAAGACUAAAACUAGACCCAUUUUUAACAGCAUUUAACACAUUUUGAAACAAACUUGAGCUCAGUUUUAAAACCUUGCUGUCUUCUAAGACAGCAUCCUGAUUCAAAGCUCUUAAGUGAUUUGGAUCACUUUAGUGUUUCCGUCAUGAAAUGCAUAUGAGACUGCUCAACAGAGUCUGACAUUUGAAGAUACCCUACACACAUUUGCUGGACUUUUUAAAAUUAGAUUUUAGAUUUUUUAUCUUCAGAUUUAGUUCUAGUGUUGAAUGAAAUAAAUGUUUAAAAUCUUAGCA